rnacentral:rRNA from 1 species
GAUGAACGCUGGCGGCGUGCCUAAUGCAUGCAAGUCGAGCGAACGGACGAGAAGCUUGCUUCUCUGAUGUUAGCGGCGGACGGGUGAGUAACACGUGGAUAACCUACCUAUAAGACUGGGAUAACUUCGGGAAACCGUAGCUAAUACCGGAUAAUAUUUUGAACCGCAUGGUUCAAAAGUGAAAGACGGUCUUGCUGUCACUUAUAGAUGGAUCCGCGCUGCAUUAGCUAGUUGGUAAGGUAACGGCUUACCAAGGCAACGAUGCAUAGCCGACCUGAGAGGGUGAUCGGCCACACUGGAACUGAGACACGGUCCAGACUCCUACGGGAGGCAGCAGUAGGGAUCUUCCGCAAUGGGCGAAAGCCUGACGGAGCAACGCCGCGUGAGUGAUGAAGGUCUUCGGAUCGUAAAACUCUGUUAUUAGGGAAGAACAUAUGUGUAAGUAACUGUGCACAUCUUGACGGUACCUAAUCAGAAAGCCACGGCUAACUACGUG